UACGUAGGGUGCAAGCGUGGUCCGGAAUUAUUGGGCGUAAAGAGCUCGUAGGCGGUCUGUCAAGUCGGCUGUGAAAACCUGGGGCUCAACUCCGGGCCUGCAGCCGAUACGGGCAGACUAGAGUUCGGCAGGGGAGACUGGAAUUCCUGGUGUAGCGGUGAAAUGCGUAGAUAUCGUAAGGAAGACCAGUGGCGAAGGCGGAUCUCUGGACAGUUACUGACACUGAGGCACGAAGGCCAGGGGAGCAAACGGG
rnacentral:rRNA from 1 species